AAGGAGUUAGUUAAAAUAAAUAUAACAUUAGAGUGUCAAUCUAAAAUUACUAACCGAUUAGUACACCUUG
rnacentral:tRNA from 2 species